AUUUGAAUACAGAAGCAUACAGACAAAAAAUACUACAGCAAGCCUGAAAGUUGUUUCUUCUUCACAUGAGUUAAAGGUUGAUGUAUCAAUCCUUUUUUCACAGAAAUACAAAAUAUUUGAGACAGAAAGGUAUUAGAAUCUGUUUUGAGGGAUCAUUCAGUCCAGUGCCAUUUCCAAAACUGGCUCAACAACAGCAGGUUGCUCAGCACUGUGUCCAGUCAGGAUUUGAAUGUCUCUAAAAACUCUUCUGGCUUCCUAUUCUAAGGUCUGAUCCUGACUGUGGAGUACGUUUUUUAUGUUUAAAUGAAAUUUUCUAUUUCUGUGUUCUCUCAUUACCUAUUCUUAAUUCUUUCACUGGGCACCAAUGAGAAGAACCUGGAUGCAUCUUCUGUACAGCUUCCCAUCGCAGACACAUUUGUACACCUGAACUCUUAAUAACCAUGAAUAACAUUACUGAAUAAUAAUACACUUAUGAUUAGGAUAUUCUAGCCUCAGUGUGGACAGAUCAAAAUGAAUCUUAAGACCCUUUUUUCUCCAUAUUUGCCUCAGAACAGUCUUACUAUAUUAUGUCAUCGGAUCUUAUUUGUCUGUAUGUGAAGACUUCCUACUGUUAUUGAUCAAAAUCAUUCAUAUUUUCCAUAAUAAUCUAAUUGAAUUAAAAUUUAACUCUCAAAUUCUGAAGAUAAUGCAUUCAAUUUCCAAAUCUGAGACACUAGAACCUUCACUCUUGUUCUUUUGUGCGGUCGCAUUCACAGGGAAGUGGCAAUUGUUAGAUGUAUGCCAGUGCUAUUCCUGCUUUGUUUAAGCACAAGAACUGUUGACAAGUAACCUAUAUAAUCAAAAUAAUUAAAAUAAUUAAACACAACAAUUGUUAUUAGCUAACUUUAAUUAACAACCAAUUUACUUCAAAUAUAGUCUAAGGUUUCAGUUAAUGCUAGCUAGUAAGAAAGAUGCAAGAGUGUGCUUCUUCCCUGUUAAGAACAUCUUUGGAGCACGCAGCUGAGUGAGGAAUGUGCCAUUUCUAAGCUAAAACUCAGCAUAAUUAAGAACAGAUUAACAGAUUUCAUAACUGUCCAAUAAUCUGUCCCACAGUUUUGGAAAAGUUAGCUAUACUUUCAUGAAUGACAAACAAGUUGAACAUUUUUCUUCAAAUGCAAAAGAGAAAUUGCACUUAAUUGAAGAACUGUAACUGGUACCUUCAUAAUGACAACAAAGCACCUGCUACCUUGUUUUAGGUCUGUUAAACUGAGGCUUUACAGUGUGCUGAUAUCAGACAGGUUUCAUGAAUCGCAUGAACAGUUGCAGACACGGAAAACAGAAACAGGAGACAGUCCACAUAAUGGGACUUUUUUUGCAUGAUUGGUGGGGUAACGUUUGAUAUACAUUAUAAAUUCCGUCCUCUGGCCAGUUCAUCUCCAGGAUACCAUGAAUGAUGCCUUUGCUGGGCAGAACAACAGACUGAGAGACUGCAGCCAAUUUUCAUCUGAUUGUUCAUUCAAAAGGAAAUAGUAAAAGAAUGAUGGAGAGCUUGAACAUCUUGUCCUUUCUUAAAAGAAGAUUCUCUAAGGACAACUUGUCUCUCACCUUUUAGAAAUACAGCUAGCAAAUCAGCACUGAACAUUGUCAAUCCUUCUUUGGAGUGAAGGGAAGUGUGAAGUAACUUAAUUAUCUGCUCACUUGAAUAAAAAGUAGAAACCACAGAAAAAUAACACUGAUAUGAGAAAUACGCAGUGGAGCUUUUUAACACACUCAAGACUUUCAUCCAGAAUUGAUGAACAGUGAGCUGUAUCUACUGCCCAGCACUCAUUCAUGAUUUCAGAUAGAUUUAAGUGUCACAGUACCUUCCUAAAGAAUAGCCAGAAGCCAGCCAUACUCUCUGCCUUUACACACGAGACAGGUAUGUUUGGAAAUAACUGGCAUUUAUCCUUACAAGUGAAUCAUCCUGCACCAGUGCAGGAACGGAGGAAAAGAAGAACAUAAAGGUGGAAUGUAUUUUUGAGCACUGCUGAAGGAAAGAAAGCCGAGGAAAGAAAACCAUUAUAAAGGAUGAUCUCUGCUCAGACUUUGACCAGGAUUAACUGAAAUGCCUCCAUUCCAAAAAUACUGAUACAAACCUCUCCACAGACAAAACUUACAAUCUCCUGUGAAGAAACUGCAAUGCAGCAAGGUUUACCCUUUCCCCUCUCAGUGUAUCCUUGUUGUGACAUUCGGCUUUCUUCACAUCCCUUCCUCCACUGCCACUUCCCCAAACCUGAUCUGCUUUCAAAUAUGUAAGUCAACUCUGCCUGACAACAGAUGAAUGAAUUCUCAUUCUCACAGACUUAUUCAAGUCAACAGCUGGAGCUGCCAGUUAUAUUUGCUGCUUACUAUUAAUGGCAGGAACCACAGAAGGAAUAAUAUAGAAUUUAGGACACACUAUUCACUCAAUUUAAUUUUUUUUUUUUUAAUCAUUUCUGUUCCCAUUCUUUCCUUAGUUUUGUAAGUGUGUUUGUUGGGCAGGUAUCUAUUUUAACUUGGAACACUGUGCGUAAUAACGGGAGAACUUACAUAUAAAAAAAGAUCUAGCAUGAACAUUCAUAUCAAAUAAAAAGAAAUGGUAAUUUUAUCUGUAUUUUUUAAUGCAAGAACCAAGUGCUUAUGAAGAGUUUCAAAGAAGACCGUAAGUAAAAAUGUUCUUCCAAUUUUAACUACCAUAUUAACUGAAACUGUAGUUCAAAGAAUAAAAGCUAUUUUCCCAUGGUUUUCCU